rnacentral:rRNA from 1 species
GGGCGCAAGCCUGAUGCAGCGACGCCGCGUGAGGGAUGACGGCCUUCGGGUUGUAAACCUCUUUCGCCAGGGACGAAGCGCAAGUGACGGUACCUGGAGAAGAAGGACCGGCCAACUACGUGCCAGCAGCCGCGGUAAUACGUAGGGUCCGAGCGUUGUCCGGAAUUACUGGGCGUAAAGAGCUCGUAGGUGGUUUGUCGCGUUGUUCGUGAAAACUCACAGCUCAACUGUGGGCGUGCGGGCGAUACGGGCAGACUGGAGUACUGCAGGGGAGACUGGAAUUCCUGGUGUAGCGGUGGAAUGCGCAGAUAUCAGGAGGAACACCGGUGGCGAAGGCGGGUCUCUGGGCAGUAACUGACGCUGAGGAGCGAAAGCGUGGGGAGCGAACAGGAUUAGAUACCCUGGUAGUCCACGCCGUAAACGGUGGGUACUAGGUGUGGGUUUCCUUCCUUGGGAUCCGUGCCGUAGCUAACGCAUUAAGUACCCCGCCUGGGGAGUACGGCCGCAAGGCUAAAACUCAAAGAAAUUGACGGGG